GCCCUGAUAGCUCAGUUGGUAGAGCAAAGGACUGAAAAUCCUUGUGUCGGUGGUUCGAGCCCGCCUCGGGGCACCA
rnacentral:tRNA from 2 species